GCAAUGGAUGCUAAGGUUGAAGCAAAGGAAAGAAAGAAAAGAAGUUGGAGUGAGAUGGAAUGUGCAGAAGUUGAUUUAGAACUGAGACUAUCAGUAGCAGGGUCAACAAGUUCUGAUAAUUUGCUAAAUGCCAUAGAAUCUGCUACUUCGGGAACUCCAUUGUCAUUAUCGUAUCAGAGAGCAUGUUUAGCUUCAAAAAUGGCAAUUGAUAAGAAUCUUGACGAUACUCCAAAAGAUGAACGACCAC
rnacentral:sRNA from 1 species